UCAGACGAACGCUGGCGGCGUGCCUAACACAUGCAAGUCGAGCGAGGAGAUCCUUCGGGAUGAUCCUAGCGGCGGACGGGUGAGUAACACGUGGGCAACCUGCCUCAUAGAGAGGAAUAGCCUUCCGAAAGGGAGAUUAAUACCUCAUAACAUUGCAGUUUCGCAUGGAACAGCAAUUAAAGGAGUAAUCCGCUAUGAGAUGGGCCCGCGGCGCAUUAGCUAGUUGGUGAGGUAACGGCUCACCAAGGCGACGAUGCGUAGCCGACCUGAGAGGGUGAUCGGCCACAUUGGGACUGAGACACGGCCCAGACUCCUACGGGAGGCAGCAGUGGGGAAUAUUGCACAAUGGGGGAAACCCUGAUGCAGCCAACGCCGCGUGAGUGAUGACGGCCUUCGGGUUGUAAAGCUCUGUCUUCAGGGACGAUAAUGACGGUACCUGAGGAGGAAGCCACGGCUAACUACGUGCCAGCAGCAGC
rnacentral:rRNA from 1 species